AAAAGUGUUGCAUUAGAGGACCUGUAAUUGACAGGAAAGAUGAAUUCCUAAUCAAUCAGGGAAGAAAGGCUAAGGCAGACAUUAUCAAAUCAAAACGUACAUUCUCACAGAGAAUUCUCUGCCAUUUCUACGCUUUAAUAUGUAAAAGGGCAGAAAUGGAAUAUAAUAUUCAUAAAUAUGUUUUAUUUAGUGUAUAAGCCCAUGAAAUGGAGAAUCGUCGUGUUUUUGACUCCUAAAAAUAAGCUCUUUAAAUCUACAUAGGGGGGGAGCGGGUGCUCUUCCACAGAGCCCACCAUGUUGAACCGCCAUGUUUAUACAGUAGCCCAGAAUGGACAUACGGCUCUAGAGACUAAAUAACCAAACACUAUUUAUAAAUCUAUCAGGGAAGCUCCUCACUUGACACUUGGCUACUCGAUGCUGUCAGCUUCAAUCUCUAAAUCGAACGCACGCACAAACACACACAGGCGUGCACAGAAACAGACACACACACACAGACACACACAGACACACACACAAACAGUUCAACACACAGACACGCCGACACAAAAAGACGGCAUACCCAUGCACAACGUUGCAUGCCUUGUACACAUGAACCCAUUCAGCACAUGCACAGUAUUAUAUCCCAGCAUCUGAUUCAAGCUCGUCCAUGCUGCCCUUUGUCCCGGGGCUCGUCUGAGGUCCCACGGACAGCAGUAGGCGGGGCCUGCGGGGAUGAGGAGGGCAUUAGGUAAAACCCUGGGAGCUCUGUGUGGAUUAGAGUAAUCCAGCUUGUCCUCCAUACGGUGGACACUGCUGCUCAGUCCUCAGUCUGCUCCGGUGAAGAUGGCUUCUCGUGCUCGCUGGGCGUUCCCUCUGCUGGUGCUGGGCCUUGAAGUCCUGCUCUGCUCUCAGGCUCAGGAGGUACGACUCUGACCCACACACCCUCCAUCUGUUCUGCUGUACACACACACAUAGGAAUACAUAGAUACAUACACAUAAACCUUGUUAGAUUUGAGCUUAUUUCUAAACUGUUCGUCUAGACUCUGAGCUGUGUAUUUUUUCGUCGUAGUAGUAAUUCUUAAAGUGGAAAUACAGACAACUUGAAAGGUUGGGUCAGAGGGUCGAAUGGAUGGUAUAUUCAAGGAUUUCAUACAGCACAGGUACAGACUUGGGUGGAAUAUUGCUCCUUGGCUGUCGAUCCCUCUUCUCACCGAACCAAAGGGUUGGGUCGAGUAUUAUAAUAAAGGAAACGUGAAUAUCAACAGAACACAAGCAGUCUCUCCCUUGAUAAGGUAUAUGGCCCUUGCUAUUUCCCAGACGACCAGGUUGGUUCGUCCUUGUUGAGACAUUACAAAUGGCGGAAUGUUGGAAAUAACACCUUGUAUCACUAGGCAGGCCAGGCACCUUCAAACAGGCCAGACACUGGCCUGUUUCUAGAUUAAGGAAUAGGAACACAGAGAGACACUAAAAUACACAAACGUUCUACAUUCCUCCCUCUUUCUACCUAAAUACAUCGAUACAUCGAUACAUACAUACACAUACAUGCAUACACACAAACAUACAGACAUAAAGACAUACAUACACACCAGAUACAUCUCUACAAAUACACAUACAUAUGCACACACAGAGACACACACACAGACACAUGCACACACACACACAGACACACACACAUAUAUGCAUGCAUACACACAUACAUACAUUUAGUUUAUACAUACACACAUACACACAAGCACACGCGGUAGAGAUUUUGUGAUGUAUUUGUGAGGUACAGUCUAU
ensembl:lncRNA